AGUGAACGCUGGCGGUAGGCCUAACACAUGCAAGUCGAACGGCAGCACAGUAAGAGCUUGCUCUUACGGGUGGCGAGUGGCGGACGGGUGUGGAAUACAUCGGAAUCUACUUUUUCGUGGGGGAUAACGUAGGGAAACUUACGCUAAUACCGCAUACGACCUACGGGUGAAAGCAGGGGAUUUUCGGACCUUGCGCGAUUGAAUGAGCCGAUGUCGGAUUAGCUAGUUGGCGGGGUAAAGGCCCACCAAGGCGACGAUCCGUAGCUGGUCUGAGAGGAUGAUCAGCCACACUGGAACUGAGACACGGUCCAGACUCCUACGGGAGGCAGCAGUGGGGAAUAUUGGACAAUGGGCGCAAGCCUGAUCCAGCCAUACCGCGUGGGUGAAGAAGGCCUUCGGGUUGUAAAGCCCUUUUGUUGGGAAAGAAAAGCAGCAGGUUAAUACCCCGCUGUUCUGACGGUACCCAAAGAAUAAGCACCGGCUAACUUCGUG
rnacentral:rRNA from 1 species